rnacentral:rRNA from 1 species
AUUGAACGCUGGCGGCAGGCUUAACACAUGCAAGUCGAGCGAGCGGCGGACGGGUGCGUAAUGUCUGGGAAACUGCCUGAUGGAGGGGGAUAACUACUGGAAACGGUAGCUAAUACCGCAUACAAUCAGAUGUGCCCAAAUGGGAUUAGCGAGUAGGGGGGGUAAUGGCUCACCUAGGCGACGCUCCCUAGCUGGUCUGAGAGGAUGACCAGCCAAACGGGAACUGAGACACGGUCAAGACUCCUACGGGAGGCAGCAGUGGGGAAUAUUGCACAAUGGGCACAAGCCUGAGGCAGCCAUGCCGCGUGUGUGAAGAAGGCCUUCGGGUUGUAAAGCACUUUCAGCGGGGAGGCGGUACUCGCAGAAGAAGCACCGGCUAACUCCGUGCCAGCAGCCGCGGUAAUAC